UUACCCUCAGGUGUCUUAUAGUCCGCAUCUCCCUUUGUCCUGUGCCAGAGUAUUUCGAUCAGGCGUGUACCCCAGCCUUUGAUCACAGUCCUCGCCUUGGACCACACCAAGUGCCCUCAUGUUUCCCCACUAAGUUGGCAUCCGAAUGCAGGAUCAGAGCAGGUGGCGGGUGCGUUGAUGAAAACCAAACAGCCGAUGGAGCAGGUCGAUGGCAGAGGGAGGCCAGGAGCAGCUGCAGCAAAUCUUUUUUGCUUAAUCAUGCGGCUGGUGGGGAAUUUAUCUGCAGUUUGCCACAUCGAGAUCCAAGUCCUUGACCUCUCAGCUGGUCGUCAUGUGUGCCCAUUACUGCCGCAAAAUGAUUGAAGUCAACGCUGAUGAGAAAUGUCUUCAGGAGUUAUUGGGAAAAACUGUUUGACUGUGAACUGCUGUAUGUCAUGUCACCCUUUACAGUCUGUAUUAAAAACGUUGGUUUGAUGGAUCUCAA